CGUUAACGCGUUUCUCCAGCAUUUUGCGAGUGAAAGCAGUAACAGAGUGCAAAAUUGAGUGUGUGAAGCGGAACGAUAGGAAUGCACUACCGGAGCGGUUUCAGCGCUGCACGCAUUGGUGAUACGGAAGGACAAGGGGGAGACACCGCCGUGAGCGGGCAGACGGACGGGGCUUCAAACCGGAUCGGGGAUGGCGGACAGCGGCGGGUCGGGCGGCUGAUGGAGUCGCUGGCCGCCUACGUGUACAAGGCGGCGAGCGAGGGCCGGGUGUUGACGCUGGCUGCGCUGCUGCUGAACCGCUCGGAGGCCGAGUGCCGCCGGCUACUGGCGCAGCUGAGCCCGGGGCCCGGUGGUGGGCCCGGCGGCGGCGGCGGUGGUGGCGGGGGCCAGCGGGCCACUCCGCUCAUCGCCGCCGCCCGCAACGGCCAUGCCAAGGUGGUGCGACUGCUGCUCGAGCACUACCGGGUGGAGACCGAGCAGACGGGAACCGUGCGCUUCGACGGCUACGUGAUCGACGGCGCCACGGCGCUGUGGUGCGCUGCGGGCGCCGGCCACCUCGACGUGGUGCGGCUGCUGGUGGCGGGCGGCGCCAACGUCAACCACACUACGGCCACCAACUCCACGCCGCUGCGCGCCGCCUGCUUCGACGGGCGCCUCGACAUCGUGCGCUUCCUGGUGGAGAACCGCGCCGAUAUCCGCAUCGCCAACAAGUACGACAAUACCUGCCUGAUGAUCGCCGCCUACAAGGGGCACAGCGAAGUGGUGAGAUACCUGUUGGAGCAGCAUGCUGAUCCCAACGCCAAGGCACAAUGCGGGGCCACUGCGCUACACUUUGCAGCUGAAGCAGGCCACCUGGAGAUUGUCAGGGAGCUGGUGAAGUGGCGGGCUACCAUGGUGAUGAAUGGCCACGGCAUGACUCCUCUGAAGGUGGCCGCCGAGAGCUGCAAGGCCGAUGUGGUGGAGCUGCUGCUCUCCCAUGUGGACUGUGACCGUGAGAGCCGCAUCGAAGCCCUGGAGUUGCUGGGUGCUUCCUUCGCUAAUGACCGCGAGAACUACGACAUUGAGAAGACAUACCACUACCUGUACCUGGCUAUGCUGGAGAGGCACCGCGAUCCUGACAACCCACUCGAGAAGGUUACCCUCCCUUCCAUCGAGGCCUACGGUGGGCGUGCAGAGUGCAGGACGCCACAGGAGCUGGAGGGCAUCCGGCAGGACAGGGAUGCCCUUCACAUGGAAGGGCUGAUUGUACGCGAGCGGAUCCUGGGCUCCGACAACAUUGACGUCUCGCACCCUAUCAUCUACAGAGGCGCAGUGUAUGCAGACAGCAUGGAGUUUGAGCAGUGCAUCAAGCUGUGGCUUCAUGCCCUGCACCUGAGGCAGAAAGGCAAUCGCAACACCCACAAAGACUUGCUCCGCUUCGCACAGGUCUUCUCACAGAUGAUACAUCUGAACGAGCCCGUGAAGCCUCGGGACAUUGAGAACGUCCUGAAAUGCAGUGUGCUGGAGAUAGAGAGGGGCCUGGCACGAAUCAAAAACCCGUCUGAGAUGGACGUGCAGACGGCCAUGGACAACUGUGAAUCGAACAUAUUUACCUUCCUGUAUCUGGUGUGUAUCUCCACCAAAACACAGUGCAAUGAGGAGGAACGGGCGCGCAUCAACAAACAGAUCUACAGACUAGUUCACCUGGACCCACGCACCCGGCAUGGCUCCAGCCUGUUGCACCUGGCGGUGAACUCCAGCACUCCGGUCGACGACUUCCACACCAGCGACGUGUGCAGCUUCCCCAGCGCUCAGGUCACCAAGCUACUGCUGGACUGCGGCGCCGACAUGAAUGCCGUGGACAAGGAUGGCAACGGGCCGCUCCACAUCAUCGUGCAGUACAACCGGCCCAUCAGCGACUUCCUCACCCUCCACGCCAUCAUCAUCAGCCUGGUGGAGGCUGGAGCCCAUGCCGACAUGACCAACAAGCAGAAGAAGACCCCACUAGACAAGAGCACAACUGGCGUGUCUGAAAUCCUCCUUAAGACUCAGAUGAAGAUGAGCCUGAAGUGCCUGGCUGCCCGAGCAGUAAGACUUCACAACAUCAGUUACAAAAGUCAGAUCCCUCAAUCAUUGGAAGAAUUUGUAGAAUUGCAUUGACUUUUAAGAUGAUUCUUUACCAGACUGGUAUUAGGUAUGGCCCUAACACAUUAGUUUAUGGGAUUGAUCUGCUGAUUACAUAGCUGUUUUGUCUUAUACCAUCCUGUCUCUGAACCCAGCCCACAACCGUUCAGAUUGUCUAUGGUGCUUCCUCGGCGCUUUCAUCGAAUAGGCUCGAAUGAUGCAAAGUGCCUACAAACUAAAAUUUUAAACUUGUAUGUGGAAGGCCCACAACUCACGAAGGACCGUAGGGCCGAGGGAGGUUGUGAAUAUCUUUCAAACAGGCGAACCGACAGUUGGAGCACUUCGGCAUUCAGUAUAAUGUGUCUGAGUUGUGGCUUGAGGCAUAUUGGUUCCACAUUGCACGCAUUCUGUAGUCCAUGUCCAGAUCUCUUGGCACAUUUAGUGACUUUAAAUCUUUUGUAUAAUGUGGGAAGGUUCUAGGGGAAACAGCAAAGACCCUUACCACAACGCCAGUGGAAUAAAAUCAUGUUUGUCUUAGUGGUUGAAGGCGAUACUUUUAUCAGUUCUCCCACAUCUAUAGAGUGUUUCUAAUCUGGACAAUUCUGGUCAUCAGUGUGAUUGUGGUUUGCUGCUUCUCACUUUGAGAGAAAAAGCUACGGUUAUUCAGAAGUGCACCUCGUGCUACUUACUUUCUUCAGUUGCUUAUGAGAACAUAUCAAUCAGAUAAUCUUGAUAAUUUUUGAAAAUAAUAUGUACAAAAAGAGCUUAAUGCCUUGGCUUUUGGCAUUAAAAACAAAACUACCUGGAUUGAAGUGAAUGGCAGUUAAAUUUGGGAUGCUUUACUUUUUAUUACUUGAAUGUUCCUUUUAACUUAGAACAAAAGGAGAUUUGCAAAGGAUGCUACCACAGUGCAUCCUUUUUGGAUGUUGUCAAGUGCUUUAUGGCCAAUGAACUACAUUUGAAUUUUUGCCACAUUUGUGCCAGAGCCAUUUGAUUCUCUUCAGGCACCAAUAGUGAUGACUUUGGCACACAGGUCCGCAGGUAUGGGGCUGUUUGCAGGUUGUUCUUGGGAUUUCAGAAAUGAUUAAAACAUUGGGGAAAAGUUUUUUAUCAAACAACAAUGGAACUGAGUUGUUGGUGGGUGGGAGAAGGAAUUAUGUUCUCUUGAUAUGAUUAGAUCAUGAUUGUUCGUUUUCAGAAAAGAUUUCAAGGUAUCAGAUAUUUUCCAAUUUGGGCUAUUAAUCAUGCUCAUUUUACUUUGAUUUGUGGUUUUUAAGCUUUUCCAGUAAGUUCAUUCCUGAGGUAUGGAUUUUGAUAUUGCUGAGGAGGUUAACAUUUAUUCCUGAUUGGACUUUGUACUAAGGAGACAAUUAGCAGUAAAUGGUAUUCAUGAGUCUGCAGCCCAGGUAUAUAGGCCAGACAGGGUAAGAAUGGCAGAUUUACGUCCCUGAAGUCUAUUGGUGAAUCAGAUGCCUUUUAUGACAGUCUAGCAGUUUCAUAGUCACUAUUACUGCUGCCAGAUUUUUUUUAAAGUACUGGAUUUAUUUAAUUACUUGAAUGUACAUUCUUCAGUUCUGGUGGUGAAAUUUGUACCUGUCUCUCUGGAUGCUUGUAGAGCAACUCAACUACUGAGCUUCUGCUCACCAAACCUGUCACAAUCUCUCAUUUCUGGAUUCCCUCCUUCCCACUUAAAGAGCUCCUUGGACAUUUUUAAGCUUUUCAUUUAAAAGCAGCUUUGUACCUAAUCCUGAGUAAAAGGAGAAUUAAAUCAGAGAGUUGUGAAUUCCCAGUUUACAGAAGUGAACUCAUCUUUUUGAAAUUGGACAUCAGCUAUCUAAAAUGAUCUUUCAUUAUUUCUGCUAUAGUCCAGUUAAUAAUUUAUUAGUCCAGUUAAACCCCAUUAUAACACUGUCAUCAAGAAAGUUACUGGGUUUUUCUUCCAAAUACAGUAGGCAGAAAGAUCUGUGGUUUAAUGUUGAUGCUUUUACCUAAUAUCUUUUGAGCUGCUUACAUUGAUUAAAAUUGUCAUUGUCACAGACCAUGAACCUGCAUUUGGCAGGAGUUGCGUAUUCAUAUUGCUAUCUUCAGUUACUCAACUUGAAGGACUGUUUCCUUUUACUUGGGUGUUCUUGCUGGGGUUAAUUGAUAUCAAUAGCCCUUACUGAAUUGGUCUUUUUGUGCCUGUUGAUUGUACUGUACAGAGACUGUUUAGUAUAUGUACGCAAGGUGCAUGGGCACUCUUCCACAGACAUCUUUGGCAAUAUUUCCUCAUAGAAUCCUACCUACACUUCCACCAGCCACAUAUCUAAUGACUUCCCAACUCAAUUGUGCUUCCUUGGUAUGGAUAAGCCUAAUUCAAGGGUAUUCCAGGGCAUGAAGCUGGUGGUUGUGAACAGUGUUGUUAUAAGAUGCUGUUAUCCAAGACUUCAGUAAUAUACUCAAACUGAAAAGCCCUAAAUUAACUAAACUGCCAGGUGAUGGAGUGAGGUGUAAUUUGAUUACACAGUCAAAAUGAUUAAUAUUGCUAACUUUCAUUUCAGUGUAAAUUAUUUUUACAAAUUUAAAAAUGUUCAAUUGAAGUGGGGAUCUGAAAAGUGCUGACUUGCAUGAGAUACUGUUGGAUUCAAUUAGAGGCACUUUUGUGGGCCUGUCAUUGGUUCAUUGUGCGUCUAUGAAACACCCUCCUUAAAUGUCAUUCCUUUGGCAGUUUGUAACGAACACAGAAGGAGCCUGUAAUUGUAGUCAUUACAUGUUUUCAAAGCCCUUCUAAGCAGUGUGCUAAAUUAUUCAGUGCUAAACUCAGCAUUAUCACUAAAUGCCUUAACAAUGGGAACAAUAAUGAUAGGAGGAUGAAAAUACAGGUCCUGGUUAACCUUACUGCUAUUUAAACUCUUGAUAUUUGAUUUGCUGAUUUGCAAUAGUUGAGAUUUUGUAAGGCAGCAUUUUAAAAAUAUAAACACUGAAGAUCUGAUUGAGACACAGCUUUGUGGUUGUUUAAAAGUUGAAAACAUGGGCCCUUUCCCUUGACAUGGUCCAUGCAAGAAAUGACCCUAAAGUUUUUAAUGAUGAAAGUCAAUGACCAUCGAAAUGCCAGUGGGUGCAUAAUUUCUGUAUGUAUUAAGUUGAAAUGCCAUGGCACUUUGCACUAUAACUCCUCAGGAUGUAUAACCUUGUGUAAUUUGUUCACCCACAAUUCCCAAGCUGGGGAUUUAAUUUUUCCUAAAAAUUUUAAAUUAGUUGCAAAAUUAGGUUUAUUACUGGAUUUUUAGACACACCUUUUAUGUCCUGAAUCCCCACACUACUGGUAUUUUUUGGAAAAAGCCGGGGAAUAAUGUAAUGAAAUAAUUCAUUCUUGAUUCUUGUAAAAUGUGACUGUUUUGUUUAAAUAAAGCUGUAAUGUACACUGAAAACAUA